CCAUAUUUACACAAAAACACUGAUAUACACAAACAUAUGUACACAUACACAUAAACACUGACACACAUAUACAGAAGUUAGAAGUUCCAUAUUUUCAGCCACCAUCUUGUUUCCAUACAUUUUGGAUGCAGGACAGUAGUUCUCCUGUGGUCCAGUGGAUCUGGCUGCUAGCUGUGGCUAAUGGAAGUUGAGGGCUCUCCCCUUUCUGUUCCCUCCUAGUCUGUGAAACUCUCCCUGUUAGCCUGUACACACUUCCUCCAGCUCUGCCAUGUUAGGAGCUUGAACACACCGUUAAAGGACC